GCAGUUUAUAUAUCUUUUGCACUCACUUUACUUUGAUCUGAACGCUAUAUUUCAAACGUUCUUUCUCGAUUAUGCUGAAAUGUUCUUUAUCAGGACAUUAUGUUUUUUGAUCACAGUAGCAGUCAUAAAAGCCAUUCCCUUCCAAUCGUGCAAUAAAAAUUCAGAUUGCGGAGAAAAUUCUGUGUUACUGCUCCAUUCAUGAUGAAGCACUGCGAACCGAUUGUACUUGAAGGUGACUACUGUUUGACAAAAGAUUAUUCAUUCCUUUUUAACGAUGUGUACUUCUUAAGAUGCCCUUGCGCGCGAGGCUUUAAAUGCAUUGGAGGAGAAGGCAGCUUUCCUGGUGGUAAAGACAAUUUUCUA